rnacentral:rRNA from 1 species
UACGAAGGGGGCUAGCGUUGCUCGGAAUCACUGGGCGUAAAGCGCACGUAGGCGGAUUGUUAAGUCAGGGGUGAAAUCCUGGAGCUCAACUCCAGAACUGCCUUUGAUACUGGCGAUCUCGAGUCCGGGAGAGGUGAGUGGAACUCCGAGUGUAGAGGUGAAAUUCGUAGAUAUUCGCAAGAACACCAGUGGCGAAGGCGGCUCACUGGCCCGGUACUGACGCUGAGGUGCGAAAGCGUGGGGAGCAAACAGG